rnacentral:other from 1 species
UGAUUCCUGGAAUGUUCGACACCCUGCUAUUUUGAACCUACAUCAUUUUUCAUGGGAUUCCUACAUCCCUGAUUAGAUGUCAGGCCGUCUUUGCAGCGGAAGACAGAAGAUCGGGUGCGGUUACCCACCUAGCUUAGCUAGGAGUCAAAAUCGCAGGAAACGGCAUUUUGGGUAUUUA